rnacentral:rRNA from 1 species
CCUACGGGAGGCAGCAGUGAGGAAUAUUGGUCAAUGGACGAGAGUCUGAACCAGCCAAGUAGCGUGAAGGAUGAAUGCCCUAUGGGUUGUAAACUUCUUUUAUUUGGGAAUAAAAUGUUCCACGUGUGGGCUUUUGUAUGUACCAUAUGAAUAAGGAUCGGCUAACUCCGUGCCAGCAGCCGCGGUAAUACGGAGGAUCCGAGCGUUAUCCGGAUUUAUUGGGUUUAAAGGGAGCGUAGGUGGGUUGUUAAGUCAGUUGUGAAAGUUUGCGGCUCAACCGUAAAAUUGCAGUUGAAACUGGCAGUCUUGAGUACAGUAGAGGUGGGCGGAAUUCGUGGUGUAGCGGUGAAAUGCUUAGAGAUCACGAAGAACUCCGAUUGCGAAGGCAGCUCACUGGACUGCAACUGACACUGAGGCUCGAAAGUGUGGGUAUCAAACAGGAUUAGAUACCCCUGUAGUC